CGUGCUUACGGACCGGCCUGCCCUCGUCAAAUUCGGGGGGGGGGACGCGAUUGUCAUUCCGGGAAAACAUUCGAACCGCCCCUGGGCUAAGAACGGAUUCAUUCGGGUGGGACCACCGAAACCAGACCAGGAUCCACCUGUGGGCGUUACUGCGCACUUUUUCAACAGCAAGUGGUUGACUACCUGUGACGCUCUGUCAUUCGAAGCGACCAUCGCGCCGAUUACUCCUUCCCCCACACCUACCCCCACAACGGUUUCCG
rnacentral:ribozyme from 1 species